GAUGAACGCUAGCGGCAGGCUUAACACAUGCAAGUCGAGGGGUAUGCUUCUUCGGGAGCAGAGACCGGCGCACGGGUGCGUAACGCGUAUGCAAUCUGCCUUUUACAGGGGGAUAGCCAAGAGAAAUUUGGAUUAAUACCCCAUGGUAUUAUAGGGUGGCAUCACCUUAUAAUUAAAGUCACCACGGUAAAAGAUGAGCAUGCGUCCCAUUAGCUUGUUGGUAGGGUAACGGCCUACCAAGGCUACGAUGGGUAGGGGUCCUGAGAGGGAGAUCCCUCACACGAGUACGGAGACACGGACCAGACGCCAAAGGGAGGCAGCAGUGAGGAAUAUUGGUCAAGGGGUGCAAGCCUGAGCCAUCCAGGCCGCGUGCAGGAUGACGGUCCUAUGGAUUGUAAACUGCUUUUGUACGGGAAGAAACACUCCUACGCGUAGGAGCUUGACGGUACCGUAAGAAUAAGGAUCGGCUAACUCCGUGCCAGCCGCCGCCGUAAAAC
rnacentral:rRNA from 1 species